rnacentral:rRNA from 1 species
GACGGAGGAUGCAAGCGUUAUCCGGAAUGAUUGGGCGUAAAGCGUCCGCAGGUGGCAGUUCAAGUCUGCUGUCAAAGACCGGGGCUUAACUUCGGAAAGGCAGUGGAAACUGAACAGCUAGAGUAUGGUAGGGGCAGAGGGAAUUCCUGGUGUAGCGGUGAAAUGCGUAGAGAUCGGAAAGAACACCAACGGCGAAAGCACUCUGCUGGGCCGACACUGACACUGAGAGACGAAAGCUAGGGAAGCGAAUGGG